rnacentral:rRNA from 1 species
UACGUAGGGGGCAAGCGUUGUCCGGAUUUAUUGGGCGUAAAGCGCACGCAGGCGGUGCGGUAAGUUACAAGUGACAGGUGGUGGCUUAACUGCCACAGGACUUGAAAAACUGCCGCACUUGAGGGCUUGAGAGGGACGCGGAAUUCCAGGUGGGGCGGUGAAAUGCGUAGAGAUCUGGAAGAACACCAAAGGCGAAGGCAGCGUCCUGGCGAGUCACUGACGCUCAGG